rnacentral:tRNA from 1 species
GUAAAAUUAGUUUAUAUAAAAUACUGAGUUGUGGGCUUAGAGAAAAAUAAAAAUUUAUUUUACU